AACAUCGCGCACCUGCGGGAACCUGCGGAAGGAUCAUUACCGAGUUAUACAACUCAUCAACCCUGUGAACAUACCUAUAACGUUGCCUCGGCGGGAACAGACGGCCCCGUAACACGGGCCGCCCCCGCCAGAGGACCCCCUAACUCUGUUUCUAUAAUGUUUCUUCUGAGUAAACAAGCAAAUAAAUUAAAACUUUUAACAACGGAUCU
rnacentral:misc_RNA from 1 species